rnacentral:rRNA from 1 species
AACGAACGCUGGCGGCAUGCCUAACACAUGCAAGUCGAACGAGACCUUCGGGUCUAGUUGCGCACGGGUGCGUAACGCGUGGGAACCUGCCCUUAGGUUCGGAAUAACUCCCCGAAAGGGGUGCUAAUACCGGAUAAUGUCUUCGGACCAAAGAUUUAUCGCCUUUGGAUGGGCCCGCGUUGUAUUAGCUAGUUGGUAGGGUAAAAGCCUACCAAGGCGACGAUCCAUAGCUGGUCUGAGAGGAUGAUCAGCCACACUGGGACUGAGACACGGCCCAGACUACUACGGGAGGCAGCAGUGGGGAAUAUUGGACAAUGGGCGAAAGCCUGAUCCAGCAAUGCCGCGUGAGUGAUGAAGGCCUUAGGGUUGUAAAGCUCUUUUACCCGGGAUGAUAAUGACAGUACCGGGAGAAUAAGCUCCGGCUAACUCCGUG